UAUUCUUUAUAGCUUGCUUAAUGAGUAUCUUAGCGGCGGAUGGGUGAGGAACGCGUGGAGAACCUGCCCUUCACAGGGGGAUAACAGCUGGAAACGGCUGUUAAUACCGCAUAUGCUCACAGCGCCGCAUGGCGCAGGGAGGAAAGCGCACAGUGGUGAAGGAUGGCUCCGCGUCGGAUUAGCCAGUUGGCGGGGUAACGGCCCACCAAAGCGAUGAUCCGUAGCCGGCCUGAGAGGGCGACCGGCCACAUUGGGACUGAGACACGGCCCAAACUCCUACGGGAGGCAGCAGUGGGGGAUAUUGCACAAUGGGCGAAAGCCUGAUGCAGCGACGCCGCGUGAAGGAAGACGUACCUCGGUAUGUAAACUUCUAUCAGUAGGGAAGAUAAUG
rnacentral:rRNA from 1 species